rnacentral:sRNA from 1 species
AUCGUCUCUACGGCACACCGUCACGCGAUGGCGGACAGCAGAGGACGAGAGGCCUGAGCCUCAGCAAUAGCGGCAUCAUGCCGGAAAGCUGGAAAAUCACGCGUGGCAUUCCUGAAGCCACGGAUUCAAGCAGAGGCUGGUAGGUUGAUUCUCGAACGCCUUGGGC